AAGCCUUUUUUUCAACCUUUGACCUCGGAUCAGGUAGGGAUACC
rnacentral:rRNA from 1 species